rnacentral:rRNA from 1 species
UACGUAGGGCGCAAGCGUUGUCCGGAAUUAUUGGGCGUAAAGAGCUCGUAGGUGGUUUGUCGCGUCUGUCGUGAAAGCCCGGGGCUUAACUCCGGGUCUGCGGUGGAUACGGGCAGACUAGAGGCAGGUAGGGGAGAACGGAAUUCCCGGUGUAGCGGUGAAAUGCGCAGAUAUCGGGAGGAACACCGGUGGCGAAGGCGGUUCUCUGGGCC